rnacentral:rRNA from 1 species
GACGUAGGGCGCGAGCGUUGUCCGGAUUUAUUGGGCGUAAAGAGCUCGUAGGCGGUCUGUUGCGUCGGCUGUGAAAACCCGGGGCUCAACUCCGGGCCUGCAGCCGAUACGGGCAGACUAGAGUUCGGCAGGGGAGACUGGAAUUCCUGGUGUAGCGGUGAAAUGCGUAGAUAUACGGAGGAACACCUGCGGCGAAGGCGGGUAGCUGGGCCAACACUGACGCUGAGACGCGAAAGCUAGGGGAGCAAACGGG